GACAGAGGCCUCAAGCGUUAGGCGGAAUCACUGGGCUUAGAGCGUGUGUAGGCGGAUCGUUAAGUACCUUGUGUAAAUCCCAACGGCGUCACCCGUCGGAACUGCUGGGUAUACUGGCGAUCUUGGGCCAACUAGGGGCAGCUGGAACAAGCGGUGGAGCGGUGAAAUGCGUAGAUAUCGCUUGGAACGCCGAAGGUGAAAACAGGCUGCUGGGGUUGUGCCGACGCUGAGACACGAAAGCCAGGGGAGCAAACGGG
rnacentral:rRNA from 1 species